rnacentral:rRNA from 1 species
GACGUAGGGCGCGAGCGUUGUCCGGAUUUAUUGGGCGUAAAGAGCUCGUAGGCGGCUUGUUGCGUCGACUGUGAAAACCCGCGGCUUAACUGCGGGCUUGCAGUUGAUACGGGCAGGCUAGAGUUCGGUAGGGGAGACUGGAAUUCCUGGUGUAGCGGUGAAAUGCGCAGAUAUCAGGAGGAACACCGGUGGCGAAGGCGGGUCUCUGGGCCGAUACUGACGCUGAUGCGCGAAAGCCAGGGGAGCAAGCGGG